rnacentral:rRNA from 1 species
UACGUAGGGUGCAAGCGUUAAUCGGAAUUACUGGGCGUAAAGCGUGCGCAGGCGGUUAUGUAAGACAGAUGUGAAAUGCCCGGGCUUAACCUGGGAACUGCAUUUGUGACUGCAUGGCUAGAGUUUGGCAGAGGGGGGGUAGAAUUCCACGUGUAGCAGUGAAAUGCGUAGAUAUGUGGAGGAACACCGAUGGCGAAGGCAGCCCCCCUGGGUCAAGAUUGACGCUCAUGCACGAAAGCGUGGGGGAGCAAACAGG